rnacentral:rRNA from 1 species
UACGUAGGGCGCAAGCGUUGUCCGGAAUUACUGGGCGUAAAGGGCUCGUAGGCGGCCAACUAAGUCAUACGUGAAAUCCCUCGGCUUAACCGGGGAACUGCGUCUGAUACUGGAUGGCUUGAGUUCGGGAGAGGGAUGCGGAAUUCCAGGUGUAGCGGUGAAAUGCGUAGAUAUCUGGAGGAACACCGGUGGCGAAGGCGGGUCUCUGGACAGUUCCUGACACUGAGGCACGAAGGCCAGGGGAGCAAACGGG